UCAAGAAUCGGUAGUCACGCUUAUCCCUCCCCCUUGGAAGAGGAGAAUUGGGAAAGGGGGGGGGGGCAAUGGAGCAUAAAAACCUUUACGUCUUCAGGACUCGGCAGUCCGGUGACGACCACGAUGCGGUUCCUUGCCUUCGUCCUCCUUCUGGCUCUCGCCGUUGCCUUCGUCGGCGCCAAGGCCGUGCCCUGCUGUGGCGGCGGAGGUCAUCACGGAGGUCAUGGAGGUAACGGUGGAGGUCACGGCGGUGGAGGCUUCGGAGGAGGCUUCGGAGGCGGUGGAGGAUUAGGAGGUGGAGGAGGCUUUGGCGGUGGUUUUGGAGGCUAGGACCGAAGGAUUUCACGGACGGAAGAUCACAUGAGAAUCACGUGACUAACGCAAUCAAUAAUUUUAGAAUUACUACAUCUUUUCCUAAAAGAUUUUUUUUUUCCUUCAGUUAUAUAUCUAUUUCUUUUUAUUUUCUUGCUUCUCCUUCCACUACUUUCAUUAAGACAUUGCUGUGAAUAAAAUAAUGAAAAUAU
rnacentral:lncRNA from 1 species